UCCGUAGGUGAACCUGCGGAGGGAUCAUUACAGAGUUGCGAAACUCCCCAAACCAUUGUGAACGUUACCUAAACCGUUGCUUCGGCGGGCGGCCCCGGGGUUUACCCCCCGGGCGCCCCUGGGCCCCACCGCGGGCGCCCGCCGGAGGUCACCAAACUCUUGAUAAUUUAUGGCCUCUCUGAGUCUUCUGUACUGAAUAAGUCAAAACUUUCAACAACGGAUCUCUUGGUUCUGGCAUCGAUGAAGAACGCAGCGAAAUGCGAUAAGUAAUGUGAAUUGCAGAAUUCAGUGAAUCAUCGAAUCUUUGAACGCACAUUGCGCCCGCCAGUAUUCUGGCGGGCAUGCCUGUUCGAGCGUCAUUUCAACCAUCAAGCCCCCCGGCUUGUGUUGGGGACCUGCGGCUGCCGCAGGCCCUGAAAAGCAGUGGCGGGCUCGCUGUCACACCGAGCGUAGUAGCAUACAUCUCGCUCUGGGCGUGCUGCGGGUUCCGGCCGUUAAACCACCUUUUAACCCAAGGUUGACCUCGGAUCAGGUAGGAAGACCCGCUGAACUUAAGCAUAUCAAUAAGCGGAGGAAAAGAAACCAACAGGGAUUGCCCUAGUAACGGCGAGUGAAGCGGCAACAGCUCAAAUUUGAAAUCUGGCCUCGGCCCGAGUUGUAAUUUGCAGAGGAAGCUUUAGGCGCGGCACCUUCUGAGUCCCCUGGAACGGGGCGCCAUAGAGGGUGAGAGCCCCGUAUAGUUGGAUGCCUAGCCUGUGUAAAGCUCCUUCGACGAGUCGAGUAGUUUGGGAAUGCUGCUCAAAAUGGGAGGUAAAUUUCUUCUAAAGCUAAAUACCGGCCAGAGACCGAUAGCGCACAAGUAGAGUGAUCGAAAGAUGAAAAGCACUUUGAAAAGAGGGUUAAAUAGCACGUGAAAUUGUUGAAAGGGAAACGCUUGAAGU
rnacentral:sRNA from 1 species